GUGCUCACUUCGAAAGCACAUAUACUAAAACUGGAAUGAUACAGAGAAAAUUAACUAGCCCCUGUGCAAAGAUGAUAUGCAAAUUCAUGAAACAUUCUAUAAUUUA